GCCGCUUUAGCUCAGUUGGUAGAGCGUUGCUCUCGUAAAGCAAAGGUCUCGGGUUCAAUUCCCGAAAGCGGCUCGA
rnacentral:tRNA from 1 species